rnacentral:rRNA from 1 species
GAUGAACGCUGGCGGCGUGCCUAACACAUGCAAGUCGAGCGAACAGACGACGAGCUUGCUCCUCUGACGGUAGCGGUGGCCAGGUGAGGAACACGAGGAUAACCACCCUAUCAGACUGGGAGAACUUCGGGAAACAGGUGCUAAUACCGCAUAACAUAUUGAGUCGCUUGGUUCAUUAGUGAAAGACGGUUAUGGUGUCAGUGAGAGAUGGGUUCGCGCCGCAUUAGCUAGUUGGUAGGGUAACGGCGUACCAAGGCAGCGAUGCGUAGCCGCCCUGAGAGGGGGAUCGACGGCACUGCUACUGCGGCACGGCCCAGACUCCUACUGCGGGCAGCAGUAGGGAAGCUUACGCAAUGGUCGGAAGCCUCCCGGAGCAGCGCCGCGGGGGUGAUGAAGGUCUUCUGAGCGUAAUACACUGCUAUCGGCGGUGAACAAGUGCUGACUUAUCUGUGCGUGUCUUGACGGUACCUGGUUAGAAAGCCACGGCUAACUACGUG